CACGUAGGGCGCGAGCGUUGUCCGGAAUUAUUGGGCGUAAAGAGCUCGUAGGCGGUCUGCUACGUCCGCUGUGAAAACCUAGGGCUUAACCCUGGGCUUGCAGUAGAUACGGGCAGACUAGAGGUAGGUAGGGGAGAAUGGAAUUCCCGGUGUAGCGGUGAAAUGCGUAGAUAUCUGCAGGAACACCCGUGGCGAAAGCGGCGCGCUGGACCACAACUGACGCUGAGGAACGAAAGCUAGGGGAGCAAACAGG
rnacentral:rRNA from 1 species